UAGGGGGAUUAAAUUCUCUUACAAUGAAUUUUAGCUUGCUUAGCCCCCCUAA
rnacentral:tRNA from 2 species